rnacentral:misc_RNA from 1 species
UCUCCAUUUAGAAUGCUUAUUUAUCUAUGUUCCUCCAAAAUGGCCCCAAAUUCUUUGAAUUAUUGUUGAGCUUGAGUGAAUUCCAUAUAUACGCUUAAUAUCUCACGAGUGUUAUGGAAUCGAUCUCCUGGAAGACUUCUUCAACUCAAAAAGGGUUCCAACAACAGAUCUAGGAGCUUGUAGCCUCAACCCGACAAUCUUCGUUAAGAAUCAGCCUUGUUGAUAAUUCCUCUUGAAUCUUUUCUUCUACGCAGAAUGAGCUCCAAAGAACUGAUACCACUGUGAAGAGGUCCAUCUCCAAGAGAUGUGAAUAUGAUGGUAUCAGCUGCUCAAGCAAGAUGAUUUAGUUGAUCACUCCAUUUGGUACAUGUCAUCUUCCAAUGGUUGAUACGACCUCAGCUAAGAGACGCUUGACUUCGAAUUUAAAGGUGAACUACUCUUUCGGGAAGUCAUUAGUUCCUUCAAAUCUUCUUUUCCAUCUUUUCAGACAAAGACAUUUUAGAUUGUUUUGUUUAUGUUUUAGUUCCGAGAUUGCAUUCUAGUUUCGACUAUUAAUUGUAGUUUUAAUAUGAUGACUUUCGG